ACACUCCCCUAUCACCAGUGAUUCUUUGUGAACUGACAUUCUGAAAAAGGGCAAGAACAUUAAAGAUAAAGGGAAACUAUAAACAAAAGAAAUUAUCAACAAAAAUAGAUUUACAGACGUCAACAAAGCCUAAAUGGUCAGACAUCUUGGUUUUCAUGAUCAUCAUUCAACAGGUCAAUACUGAACAGCAAACUUAAAGUUGAUAUUUUUCUACAUAGUGUGACUUUUUUAUUAAUUUGAAAUGGAAUGUGUUUUUUUUUCCUACAUAAGAAAGAGGAAAUUUCAACAUAAUGACUAUAAACAAAAAGGAGUCAUAUCAUCAUGAUCAUAGAUGCUCAAGAACUUAAUCAUGUAAAUGCAACAACGUAAUUAUCAAUUGAAAGAAGGGAGGAAUGAAAAAAUAUAUUAGUAUUUUGUUGUCCAAAUGAACUUGCUUUGUCCACUCAUUUAAAUCGCUCCAUCCAAUAAAGAUGUACGGAGGAAGAUUUUUGAAGAACAGAUUGCAAAAAUGUUUUGUCUAAGAAUUGUAGGAAUAUUCUAGUGGAUGAAAUAAUUUAUUUACUUGACUCUUAUAUAGUGGACUGAAUAAUUGUUCAUAGCAAGCUGAAACAAGAAAACUAAAACUUAACAGGAAAAGUGUUUAUUUUACAUGUUUUAUAAAUUUACAAAUAUAAAUGUAAUAUUAUGAACACCACAAAGGAAUAAGAUUCAAAUCGUUUGCAUAUUCAUGUAUUGCAAUGGAACUAUAACAAAGAAAACUUUACCUCAUAAAAAGAGUAAACUAUUAACUGUGCUUUGUCAAUUUAUUCAGUCAGAAUAUGAAAUAUUUUUUUCAGUUCUAUUUUUCAUAAUAAAACAAAGAAGACAAAGAU